CCUCCCAGGUCCACUUCUCCCGCCAGUCCAACUCGAAUUCCCUCUGCUCCUUCUUCUGCUGCUUGGUCCAUAGUUGGUGGGUGAUUCUGUCACGGUUGUCGUCGGUGAAUGAGGACCAAAACGCAGCAGGAAGAGCUCAUGACGUCUGGCUGCACUUUUGCAGCAUUGAGCUGGAACCCUGAUCCGCCACAGACUCUGGCCUGCCAAACAGCAAUAUCAGAGGACGUCCUGCGCCAGUUUGCAGCCGGAGUGUGGGGUGUCUUUGAGGGGGAUUACCUUGGCUUUCCAUAAAUCCAAUGCAUGCGGGAAGUAGUUAUUGUAUUUUACAUUGGAAAUCAAAUUAUACAUGUAAGUAUUUUUUACAAUGAAGAGUUGUUGUUUUUUUCUGUGUCCAGACAGCUGAUCUCAACUGGAAGCUCACAAAUUAGUCAUUUGAGGAGUUCAAACAUUGGCACUUUGAACAAGAGACUGUCAGGAAGUAGGCGCCACUAGAACAAAGUGUCCUUCGUCUCUGUCCACAGUGGACACAGAGGACACACUGCGGACCGGUGCUGGAGGCGUCCACCCAGGAGUCCGGAGGGCAGGCAGAGCACUACAUCGACCCCCCAGGCCGGUGGUAGCUGGUCCACUGC
rnacentral:lncRNA from 1 species